rnacentral:tRNA from 1 species
GCCAAGUGGAUCAAGGCAGUGGAUUGUGAAUCC